UACGUAGGGGGCAAGCGUUGUCCGGAUUUAUUGGGCGUAAAGAGCGUGUAGGCGGCCAGACAGGUCCGUUGUGAAAACUCGAGGCUCAACCUCGAGAUGUCGAUGGAAACCGUCUGGCUAGAGUCCGGAAGAGGAGUGUGGAAUUCCUGGUGUAGCGGUGAAAUGCGCAGAUAUCGUUUGGAACGCCAAUGGUGAAAACAGGUCGCUGGGGAUGAGCUGACGCUGAGACACGAAAGCCAGGGGAGCAAACGGG
rnacentral:rRNA from 1 species